rnacentral:rRNA from 1 species
UACAGAGGUCUCAAGCGUUGUUCGGAUUCAUUGGGCGUAAAGGGCGCGUAGGCGGCGGGGUAAGUCGGGUGUGAAAUCUCAGGGCUCAACCCUGAAACUGCACUCGAUACUGCUCUGCUUGAGGACUGGAGAGGAGACUGGAAUUCACGGUGUAGCAGUGAAAUGCGUAGAUAUCGUGAGGAAGACCAGUGGCGAAGGCGGGUCUCUGGGCAGUAACUGACGCUGAGGAGCGAAAGCGUGGGGAGCGAACAGG